CCAGACUCCUACGGGAGGCAGCAGUGGGGGAUAUUGCACAAUGGGGGAAACCCUGAUGCAGCGACGCCGCGUGGGUGAAGGAGCGUUUCGGCGCGUAAAGCCCUAUCGGCAGGGAAGAAGGAGGACGGUACCUGACUAAGAAGCCCCGGCUAACUACGUGCCAGCAGCCGCGGUAAUACGUAGGGGGCAAGCGUUAUCCGGAUUUACUGGGUGUAAAGGGAGCGUAGACGGCACGGCAAGUCAGAUGUGAAAGCCCGGGGCUCAACCCCGGGACUGCAUUUGAAACUGUCAGGCUGGAGUGCAGGAGAGGUAAGUGGAAUUCCUAGUGUAGCGGUGAAAUGCGUAGAUAUUAGGAGGAACACCAGUGGCGAAGGCGGCUUACUGGACUGUAACUGACGUUGAGGCUCGAAAGCGUGGGGAGCAAACAGGAUUAGAUACCCGAGUA
rnacentral:rRNA from 1 species